GACAGAGGGUGCUAGCGUUGUUCGGAAUGACUGGGCGUAAAGGGCGCGUAGGCUGUUAAUCAAGUUAGGUGUGAAAGCCCCGGGCUUAACCUGGGAACUGCAUUUAAUACUGGUUGACUGGAGAGCGAGAGAGGAAAGCGGAAUUCCUAGUGUAGAAGUGAAAUCUGUAGAUAUUAGGAGGAACACCAGAGGCGAAGGCGAGUCCCUGGACAACUCCUGACACUGAGGCACGAAAGCUAGGGGAGCAAACAGG
rnacentral:rRNA from 1 species